GGGCACAACGGCUGAGACAGGAGUUCAGAGCCGGCCUCAACAACAUAGUAGGGCCCUUAACAACUCAAUGAGACCCUGUUUCUAAAUAAAAUACAAACAAUGGGCUGGAGAUGUGGCUCAGUGGUUGAGUGGCCCACGGUUCAACCCCCAUUAUCAGAACAAAACCAAAAACAAAACAAAAAAAUAAAACCCCAAAUCUCCACCCUCAAUGGUAUCAAAAUAUACAAAAAUAAAUUCUUGGUGAACUACAGCUCUAAAUGUGAACAGAGAAAUAACAGAAAACUUACAAGGUAACAGAAGAUACUUUCCUGAACUUGGGGUCAGAAAAGAGCUUAAUGCCUUUAAUAAGAGCAUGAUAACCAAAAACAGCCUUUACUCCCAGGGGCCAGCGGUAAGUACUCAGUACAGCCAGGCCUGCACCCUGGGGUUACUUUUGGGAGGGCAGCCCAGGGUUCUUGGGGUUGUAGCCCACAUUGCCACCAGCAAGGGAAAGAGGUCAGAGUGCUCUGCGACAAGGAAUCCCAGUUAGAUGGAGAGGGUUGCAUGUCGACGUGCGUGGGACAUACUGACUGAUGGGUUCCCAAAGCAGCUCGCUGCACUAAAGGCCCUGGCUCCCAAGGCACUUAGGAGCAGUGACACCCCGCGGCGAGGAUUGUGAGGAAUCUUGGUUUCUAACACCAUUUUCCAAAACAGCAGGCAGUACUCCUGGGAAAGGCUGAUUGAAGGAUGGCAGAACUCCGUGGAGAAGAAUUCCAAAUAAAGUUUGCACAUGUUCUGUCUUCCUCCAUGUAGGCUGUGUGAGCUGACUUGCUCCCACGGGAUGCGGUAGGGGUAGCAGGAGGCAGGAUCUCUGUACAGGGAAAAACCUGACGGCAGUCAUGCUCAGGGUCAGCACCAGCCAUGACCCCUGGAGGCCUGUACCCUCCGUGAGCCGCCAGUGCUCCUGCCUCUGCCCGUCUUCUGUGCAGUUCAGGAACCGGGCUCAUUCCUAUGGUCCCCGAAACCCAGGAGGCUGAGGAGGGAGGGUCACAAGUUCGAGGCCAGCCUCAGCAAGUCAGCAAGAUCCUGUCUCAAAAUAAAUAAUAAAAAGGGCUGGAGAUGUGGUCAGUGGUAGAGCGCUUCAGGGUUCAAGCCCCAGUACUGAAAAAAGGAAAACGAAAACCUAGAGAGAGAAGGAGGAGGAGAAUGGAGUUGGGGGAAGGGAGAGGAGGGGAGAAGGGGGAAGGCAAGGAGGUGGAGAGGACAGCGAGGGAGGGCGGGCAAAGAAAGGUGAGGUUCGGCCCAGGCCUCCGCCACACAGCCUGCCCGGGCCGGCUGGGCCUGGCUAGCCAGAGUCCUCCACGCCCAGCCCCAAGCCCCGCCUGUGGCGCCCCCCACUCCCCAACCCCGGCAUUCAAGGAGCAUGCGCAAGAGCCGGUGUCCAGAGCGGACCGCGCGAGGCCUCCAGUCUGCAGCUGGAAGAAGGGUGUGCGGAGGCCAGUCUCCAGGACAGGCGCUCCCGGGAAGUGCUGCUGCAGAGCGCACGCUGAAAGUUAAAAGGCUUCUGGCUCCAGCGCCGGCGGGCAGCAGGACCUGGGACCUCGCAGGCAGGGUUUCCUGUCCGCGCCAGGGAAGUGGACGAGGCCAGGCGGAGCUGCAAGGUAUCUUCUGUUCCACUGAGCACUGUGGCCAUGGUGCGGGGCGGGGCCCGCGGGCCAGCUUCUGCGGUGGGAGCCGCCUGGCCAGGGUCAUUGCCCAGGCCUCGAAAAGCGCGCAGUUUGCAACUCUGGCAACCGAUGUCCUUCCACUCUGAGUGUGCAUCAUUGUCUCGGAGAACAGCUGGCAGGACUGCUGCCCGCUGCUCUUAGCCAGGAUGACCCCACCUGGCUGCUCGCCUUUGUCCCCAAGGCGGACUAUCCAGAGCAGAGCAUCUGGCCUACAGGUCAGCCACGGAGGGCUCCAGCGGGGGACAAGACACCGUCACUGCGGAUGGCAUGCAUCCCUCCGGGGCCUGUUCACCAGGCGAGCAAGCAGGCUGGUCGUGAGUGUGCGCUAGGAGCUGGGUGGAGCCCGGAUUUCUAGACGGUCUCCUAUCUGGGCCUCCUGAAAAAUAAGUGGAGACCCCCUUCCAGUGUGUUGAGCGGCUGACCCGCGCUGCCCCUUGCCUGGUGGAGGAGAAGGCUGGUCCCCAGGAAGCUGUGCACCACGGAGCAGACUGUGUGUUUUUGCUGGAAUAUAAUUGGUGAAAUGGCUUGUUGUUUGUUUUUGUGGUAUUGGGCAUGGAUCCCAGGGCCUCCAGCAAGCAGGCUAGGUGAGGCUCUGCCACGAGAUACCUCCCCAGCCCGGGGGUUGGGUUUUAAAAAAGCAACAGGAGGUUAAUUUUUUUUUUUUUUUUUUGCCAUUUCAUUCCAAUCUCGACCGAAUCAGGAUUUAAAGUAGUUUAUUAUGGAAUACUGUGGCACUAACUUAAAGAAAAGGUGAGGUAAGUAUGUAAAUCAUCCAAUAGAAAAGUAAAGUAAAAUCUUGAACGUGUUUUACAAAAGCCAAAACCAAACAAAACGAAAAAACCCCAACAACAAACAAACAGAAAACCAAAAAAGCUGGGAAAGUCUGAGAAUCUGGUGGUCUAGAGGGGCCCAGGAGGUGGGGUGACUAAGGCCAUGUGUGGCCUGGGGUCCUGAGGCAGAAGGAGGACAUGGGUGGAACUGAGGAAGUCCCGAUAAAGCCUGACUUCAGUGAGUGCUGCUGUGUCCCUGUGGGCUCCUGAGUGGUACCAAGUGGGCCCGGCUAUUGCAAGACCACCUCAUGCAGAACAUUGGGUGGGGGCUCAUGGGAACUCUCACCGUCCCCGAGGCUUUUCUGCGACUCGGAAGCCACUCUAAGAUUAUAAAAGCUUAUUCAAAAUAUCCUUCUCAGGAGUGAAAAGGAAAGCCGCCGAGUGUGAGAAAGAAAUUCGUAAUCAACCAGGUAAAAGGGAAGAUGGCUGCAGAAUGGUCAAAAAGUAAAGAGCAAAAGUUCUUCUGUGAGCUUUUGAAAGUUUCCCAAAGGGGUAAAUUUUCUAGAGCUGGACCUUCCAGAGGGAAUACUUUUCUGGAAGCUAACAAUACUUUACAAGGUUGAGAAACACUAAAUUGACCAGUCUGCCUCUUCAGCUGGACUUAGAAAAUUUACAACCAACCAGGACCGAGUUGGUGUCCAAGUUCCAGGGUUACCUCAGUCCUGUUUAACUUCUCUAAAGACUGUUCCUUUUUGUUAGGAAAGCCUCAGACCUGCUCCACCUCUGUGGAGCGUUCAUUCACUCUAGUUCAACUGGGUUUGAAAAAUAUAUCCAGAAUAAAAGGAUCUUUGCUUUAACCUUGUUUGUGAUUUCUUGGUUUGCAAAUAAAUGUGAUUGAUAAGGGACUUACAUCAGUCGGAGUCCUGCUGGAUGAAAGCAAGUAUACCUUUCAUUUGGACAGAGAGCAGUUAAUAUAAGAAAUAAUAUAUAAGUCCAAAGCUGUUCAAUAUAUAACUUCCAGAAUAAAAAAGAACUUGAAUACAUCUUAAAGAUAGCAAACGCAACAGAUAACCACCACCACCCCUAAGGAUGGGGACCAGUGCAAGAGGUUGGAUUAAUGGAAACUUGAAGAGACAGAGGUGGGACCCCAGGGGGGUGUGCUGGCUGUCUUGGGGUCUUUGGUUGAGAGCAGCCUCCCAGGGGAGGAGAUAGGAGGGAAAAGGGGAGGAUGAUGAGCUGAAAUCGAAUUCCAUGCCUAUAUGAGUUUUUUUUUUGGGGGGGCGGGGGAUGAACCCAACUACUUUGUAAAACUCUAAAGCUCUAAAGAGGGUCCUGGGAGGUCUGGACCUGGAGCUCAGAGGAAGGCGCCAGAGAGUUGGGGCUGGUGUCCCUGAGUGGGGCGACACGAUAAAGUGGAUCUUGUGCACGUUGGGUAAACUACAAACUAGAUUCGACUGCUUUAGGAAACAAGGCACAAGGGAGCAGGAAGCACCCUGCUGCUCCCGAGGUGAGGGAGUCCAGGGGACGUGGCCCCCGGGAGCAGACGGAAGAGAGACAGGUGGCCGCUCCCAUUCCUCCGCAAGGCGACACCUAGCUCCCUUCUGAUGGAGCUGAACACGCACCGGCCAAGGGUCACUGAGGUUUGCAGGGUGCCUGUCCCUGCAUCACAGAGCAGAGCAUAAGAGAUGCACAGAGACGUGUUUGGGUGAAGGGCCCGAGGUGACAGGCAAUGGCACCUGGCAAGUCCACCCCUCGAUCUAUCCUUUCCAUGUGUACAUUUCGUCAUGGCUUUGUACUUCCACAUUUCAAAAGCAAAACAAUUUUGUACCUCACAGGACACAACUACUUUCCUACAGGUGUGGAACAGUCUGUCCUCCCCCACCCCAGGAAAGAGCGGUGAGUCCCCAGUCUGAGCUCCCUCUUCUGGGCUGUGAAUUGCUCUUUUUAUCUCUCCUGCCCAGAUAUGCUCUUACCUGAGACUAAACCGCAAAGUUAACUUUCAGCAACAGUCACCGACCUCAACAGGGGAAUGAGGGGUAAAAGAGCAGCUAGAGACAAGUGUGCACACAGUCAAGAGGCCAGCGAGCAGCGGAGGUGUCAUGCGCAGAGCUCACUGCAGCUGGCUCCGGUCCGCCUCUGGUUCAAGCAUGAGCUUCAUCCAGGAGAGAGGACCUCCAGCCUCACAUGGUGGUUUGGUGGUGUCCCCCAGGGGUGCACACCAAACUCCCCAGGGGUCAGCCUACUGCACAGGCUCUUCUGGGUGGCAGGGCCCGUGGAGAGGCUGGCGACUUCCCUGGGCAGAGGCCAUUGUGGCACAUCUUGCUCAAGAGUGAGAUCCUUGUGGAUCCAUGUCACAGAGGACGACUGUGGUGGUCAGCAGACAUUCCCGAGCACAGGAUGGAGGAGUCCAGGGCAGGGAUGGCUGCACGGCUAUUCCAGUGAGAAUGAUCGUCAUCCCUCCACGUGGGCGAAGUCUGUGCCUCUGGCGGCCGCCCCUGCGGGCUGCUUCCACAGGUGGUGGCGCCACGCUGGCGCUCAGUGAUGGCCGGUCAGGCAGUGACCAGGGAGUCCGUGUUGUUGUCAGGGCUGAGCCUCCAUCUCCCCCGCCACAGGGUACCCAUGACCUGUUAAGCACGCGUGGACUCUUUAGGAGAAGAGGCAAAGAGCUCUCUGAGGCGGAGGCGGAGGCGGAGGGGUUAGUGGCAGCUUAGGCUGCGAGACAGCGUGGAGGAGAAUGGGAGCAAAGGGACAGGGCUCGGGAGGCUCAGUCAGGCUCUGAAAUCAACGUGAUGUCACACAGCCCCG
rnacentral:lncRNA from 1 species